rnacentral:rRNA from 1 species
GACAGAGGAUGCAAGCGUUAUCCGGAAUGAUUGGGCGUAAAGCGUCUGUAGGUGGCUUUUAAGUCCGCCGUCAAAUCCCAGGGCUCAACCCUGGACAGGCGGUGGAAACUACCAAGCUGGAGUACGGUAGGGCAGAGGGAAUUUCCGGUGGAGCGGUGAAAUGCGUAGAGAUCGGAAAGACACCAACGGCGAAAGCACUCUGCUGGGCCGACACUGACACUGAGAGACGAAAGCUAGGGAGCGAAUGGGAUUAGAACUACCGUGUCAGUCCA